CGGUGCAUGGCUCAGCUUGGUAGAGCGUGGCGUUCGGGACGCCAAGGUCGCAGGUUCGAAUCCUGUUGUACCGA
rnacentral:tRNA from 1 species